rnacentral:tRNA from 1 species
UAAGGUUUCUGUAGUUGAGUUAC